ACUCUUUGGCAAUGGGAAAAGAGACACCUUGUUAGUGGCAUUGUUCUUAUAUCAGUCAGGGGCAGAGCAGUUGGCUUUGCUCAUCCUAGCCUGAUGCCUGCCUUUGUAUCCAAAGCUCUCUUUGGCCUAGGACUCAUAA